AAGACGGUCAGCCGGGAUCA
rnacentral:snRNA from 1 species